UGAGGCAAACAGGAGAAGACAGAGCAGCUCAGUCUGGGCAAGUCAGAGUCCGAUUCCUUAGACGCCGGGAUACUCUCACGCUUGCAGGGAAACAGCUCAUUGCAACAGGAAGAAUUCAGGAUUGGGGUUCAGAACUCAUUGAUAUGCUUCCCAUCUCUGCUGGUUACCAGCGGCAUGAGUUAAGGCAAGUCACUUAAUCUGUCUGAAUCUCAGUUAAUCUAUCUGGAAAAGGUAGGUACCUGGGUGGGGGAAGGGAUGAUUCUAAAUUUAAGAGUUUGGAAAACCAAAUGACUCCUUUAGUGCCCGCAGGGUUCUACUGAAGAGAAAUGAGAUCAUGAAUGUGAAAAUGCUUCAUAUACUCCACAGUGUCCUAUAGAAUUAUAGCUGCUCCCUUGUUCGAGUUUAAUUCAUUGGAAAUAGGAAGUUAAUCUUUCUUGUGUCCACCAGAGCCAAUUUCUUUUGGUUCUUUCUUUUAGUGAAGCAGAAGGAUUCGGGAAAUAUUUAAUUAAAGUGUCAAAGACUAAAAUUUUUUUCCCCAGUGAAUCCAUCAACCAUCAGUGGUUAUUCACGGAACAUCUACAGGGCUGGGGAAAAAAGGACGCAGGAUGAAACUCACAAUUAAAGACUACAAGUGUCUUAUGGAACACAGAAGAACGGGUAAUAUCAUGUAAACGAUAAGGCACGAUAAUGAAGAGGUCGACCUUCAUUGAGAGGUCCACCUCACAUGCUUCUGGAAACACAAAUGCUGAGUACAUCAGUCAGGUCCCUGAUUUUUUCGGACCUUAGCUGGAAUCGAUGAGUCUCCUCACAUCCUCUCAGCAGCUAGGUGACAUCAGCUGCCUGGAAGAAGUGGGCCCUUCCGUGGGGUCAUGUAUGGACUAGAAGAAGCAACUGUGGACACUUGUCCCUGCCAGGCGGGCGGUACCUGCUGGGCUCCCUACCAGCUUUGUGAUGUGGGGCUAGCCUCUCUGUGCCCCAGUUUUCUCAGAUGUGAGGUGAGAAAUAACAACAGUGCCAACUAAAUAAAGUUACUAUGAGGUGUAAAUGGGAAGCAAAUAGAAAGUUCUUGGUGUGUGUCUGUUCUCAGUAAGGAAAGAAGGUUGAAGUGAGCAGGAGGCCCAUU